rnacentral:rRNA from 1 species
AAACCAGCACCUCAAGUGGUCAGGAGGUUUAUGGGGCCUAAAGCAUCCGUAGCCUGAUCUAUAAGUUUCCGGUUAAAUCCACAUGCUCAACAUUUGGGCUGCCGGAAAAACUGUAGAUCUAGGGAGUGGGAGAGGUAGACGGUACUCGGUAGGAAGGGGUAAAAUCCUUUGAUCUAUUGAUGACCACCAGUGGCGAAGGCGGUCUACCAGAACACGUUCGACGGUGAGGGAUGAAAGCUGGGGGAGCAAACCGGAUUAGAAACCCGUGUAGUCC